UACGUAGGGUGCAAGCGUUACUCGGAAUUACUGGGCGUAAAGCGUGCGCAGGCGGCGCGUUAAGACAGGUGUGAAAGCCCCGAGCUUAACUUGGGAAUUGCGCUUGUGACUGGCGUGCUGGAGUGUGGCAGAGGGAGGUGGAAUUCCACGUGUAGCAGUGAAAUGCGUAGAGAUGUGGAGGAACACCGAUGGCGAAGGCAGCCUCCUGGGCCAGCACUGACGCUCAUGCACGAAAGCGUGGGGAGCAAACAGG
rnacentral:rRNA from 1 species